AGGAUUGGGCCUCCCUAAGCUCUCUCCACCUGACAGUUACACAAAUGCUAUUGAUAAAGAUGGGAACCAGUUCCCUAAUCUUUUCCACUCAAUCUUUUCCUUCCCUUUUCUUUCAUUCGCUCCUUUGAGAGCAGGUGUGCCUUGUCUUAACAUUGUAUCCAUUCCAGUAUCUUUAGUCCAUAGUUCUUGGAUUUGCAAACCAUAGGCAAUUGAUAAAAUGGAAAUAAUACCUGACUUUAUAGCAGUUCACCUGAAAAUAAAUUGAAGCAUUUUAAUUGAUAUCAGUCGACUGUGUGAUGGAGCUGCCGGGAAAUACCAAGAUCAUCUCGGACUACAUGAAUAGAAGUGUACAGUGGGCAGCAAGAGAGCUCUGUGCUCUGUGUUGGGCAGACAAGUUCAUAAACAAUCUGCUCCAUUCUGAGUACGACAUUGAAUGAGCAAUAUUAAAAUUGGAGACUGUUCAAACAAAAUGAACAAAUUAGGGACAGCACAGUAAAGUGUAAUAAUAUCAUUUUGGAGUCAGACAGGCUUAUUCAGACCCAAGUUCUGACACUUACUAUGUCACCUUGGGGAAGUUAUUUAACUUCUCACAGCCUCAGUUUACUUGUCUAUGUAAUGGAAAUAAUAAUAGUAUCUAUUUCAUGGAUUAUGCCAAGGACUAUGAUCAUGAUGAGCAAUUAUCAUUUACAUUUGGAGGAAUUAGAGUGGUUUAGCCAGAAGAUUUGAAGACUUAGGAGUUGGGGUGUGGUGUGUAUGGGAUAUUAUGUCUAUCUUUAGAUAUUUGAACAAUUGCUGUUGGAGGAGUUAUUGUGCUUAUGUUGGGUAGAUGCAUAUGACAGAAUUAGGUCAAAUAGUGGGAUAUGCAGAGAAGAUGACAUUGCCUCAACACAUGGCAUAAAUUUUUGACAAUUAGCUUUGUUUAAAAAUGGAAUUAAGUUCUUUCAUCAGGUGGUGAUUUCCAGACCACAGUGAAUGUUCAAGCAGAGACUGGUUUCUGUGUCUUAGAAUGGUAUAGAGGAGAGUUCUGCACUGGCCAACGUAUGGAGAAAUUUAGAUGCUACGUGUGGGAGUUUGCAGGUUACCAAGCAGGGGUCCAUGAUAAAUGUAGGACAAAAGAAGUUACAAAUAAUCACAUUCUGAAAAGUUGAGCUAAAUGAUGAAUAAGGACAAGUCCAGACAUCAUAUUCCUUUCCUCUUGGAGUUCUCAAGCACAGAACCUGUAGCUUGAGUUGUCAUCUUCCAUUUUCUUCAUUUCGGAGCUCCUCUUCAUCGCACCCUGAGUGGUGAUGAUCCACAACGUUCCUGUUCCUUUCCAGGCCGAGAGAGUGGGCAGGAGGAGGAGCUUUCAUUGAAGUGAUUCUCUCAGCUGUAUAGGAAGCACCCCGGGUCUGCUCAACAGAAAAGCCACAGUUCAUGGACUUGGUGGUAUCGGAGGUGCCAAGGGCUGGAAGCCAAAGUUCAGUUUCCUCUUAAGCAGCAAGUUCUUUUGCGUAAGUCCAACCUGCUGACUUGCUCCGUGUAAGUGCUUUUGUUUUUAUCUCAAGGCUAUUCUUAAGUUAAUUAGUUGCAAUUACUAGCUCUGCUGCAGUGGAAUGCAUAGUAACAGAAGGGGGAAAUGAGGCCAUCAGGGAGAUGCAGUUGAGUGUUCUGAGACAACAUACAGAGGAACUGCAAUUCGUUACACUCACCAAUUAAGUCCGAAAAAAGAAAAAACAACAACAACAACAAUAAAACCAAAACUUGCUCCAAAUAGAAACACAAAGGAUGAGGCAAAUAUACUUACACAGUGUUUGUUAUAAUGUCUGCCCACAUCCAGAGGCCACGAAAUGUCCCUAAGGAUGGUUUCCCAUGACAGUAAGCCACAGCAGGCAGAAAGAGCAGUGGGGCUUGUUAAGAGCUAUAGAUUCAAAAGCUUCUUUUUAUUAGCUGUCAGUCUAAUUUCUAUUGGGGCCAGUCAGUUCCAU
rnacentral:lncRNA from 1 species